UCAAGACAUCUUAGUUUUAUUGGAUUUUCUUGUCAAAAAUGUCCAAUAUUUCCAAAAGGGUUUGAGAAAUUGAUUUCUCUCCGAACAUUAAGUGAUUUCAACAUAGGUGGUAAAAAUGAAAAAGAAGGAUGUAAGCUUGGAGAAUUAAAAAAGUUGAAUCACCUACAAGGGACUCUUCGAAUAUAUGGGUUGGGUAACAUGAUAGAUGUAUCUGAUGAUGAAGAUGCACGACUCAAGAUGAAGAAAUACCUCCAUAGUUUGGAACUAUGGUUUGGAAAAUUUGAUAUUUUCAGAGAUAAAAUUAGUAGAAGAAUAAAGGAUGAUGUAUUAGUUUUGAAUGCCUUGGAAGCACCUUCAAACUUGGAAAGUUUACGUAUUUUUGAUUACCAUGGCACUUGAGAGUAUCCUAAUUGGAUGAUGAAUCAUUAAAGACAUCGGCUGCAUAUACUUUGAAAAAGGUGGGAGUUGAGUUUUUGGGAAUAGAACCCAAAAAUAAGAAAGAUAACGCAAUUAUAUUCCCAAAAUUGAAAUCUCUCGAAUUUCAGGAAUUUCCAAAGUGGGAAGAAUGGAUUGACAUUGGAGGAACAAGGGAAGAAGAAGAAGAUAAUGGGUUUGUUACUACAAAAAUAAUGCCACGCCUUUGUUCCUUGAAAAUCUUGAGAUGCCCCGUGCUAAAGUCGCUACCAGACUUUCUUCGUACUACACCAUUAAAGAAAUUGGAGGUUCUUCGAAGUCCAAGUCUUGAGCAACAUUGCAAAAGAGGGACAAGGGAAGACGGGCACAAGAUUUCUCACAUCCUAAGCAUCAAGUUUGAUUCGGACUAACAUUCAGAGACCCAGAAGUGCUUUUCAAUAUGGAAGAGUGCAAAGCAUGGGAAGCACCUGCCUUUAGGGAUCAAGAUAUUGUGAAUACUUUGACUUCUUAUUGGUGUAGGUAAUCAUUACACAAUAUCUAUAUCCAGAAGAACAUUCUUGGAAGAGAACUGAAUUUCUUAUUGGUUUAUUGUGACUUCGUUGCUGUCUCAAGUCAAUCAUGUCUCACUCAAAGAGUUCCCUCUAGUGUUUAGUUUAUUUCCUUCGAGAAGUACUUUAUUUAUCUUCGUCCAUCCUCCUCUGUCUUAGACAAACACAAGAAACAAUUCCCAUUUUACAAGGGAAUUCCAAGGGCCAGCACUUGGACAUAUGAGCAAGGAUUCUGAAUUGCCAAGGAAGCUCUUUAGGGUAGUAGCAGAACCAGUGUUUGAAAUAGUAUGCAUGAAGAAUGGUGUUGGAUGCAACAGUGAAGAAUUUUAUAGCGUUAAUGAUCUGAAAGCUGACCUCCAAAUUUCAUUCUUUAUAGCCUUAUGUUUACAUUGAAGUUGGUUCUCUCUCUCUUUUGCUUCAUAGCUUCAUUCUCACACCUAAGAAUCAAAACAACUAAACCCUCCCUGCCAUCUCCAUGGCCACACUCUUCAGAGAGGAGGUUGAGCUUUUAGGGAUGGUUUUGAUGGAGUAAGGGAGUGGGAUUGCCUUGGUCUGUGAUUUGCCCAUUACAAGCCAGCCUACUAUUGAGCAGCUACUAGAUUGAAUCUAGUCCAAAAAGUCAAAAACCUCGUUGGCUCUCAAUGGUACUAUAAUGAUUCAUAGCAAAUUAUGCUAACUGUGGUGAGGACUUGUGUUUGAUUCCUGAGUCACCUUUUUACCUUGAAGGAGCUGGUGGAGAAUUUGGAAAUUAGCUACUCCAAGAUGUGAGUCUGUGGAUAUCUCAAAGAUGAAGGUAUGGAUACUUGUAUGCAUUCUGUUGCCUUUGUGUUAAAUGUGUUGUUUGUCAAGCCUGGCAAUUGUGAGCAGAUCACCUUUAAAAUUAGUAGAGAACUGAAGAGAAAAACCUUGUAAUGACCAGAAAGUUUCUGUAUAUUGGCUUAAAAAAGAUUACAUUGUGUACAUGUAUUUAUAGGUAAGAAUCUACAACCUAGAAGGAAAGGCCAGACCAAUCCCUAUAAUCAGUUUUUAAUUGAUACAAAUCAAAUCUCUAGAAUCAUGGGGGAGAUGAGCUGAGAAUCUGGUGUUGAAAUAUGGUGCUGAAAUCAAGGCUAAUCAAGGCAGCCAAUCAAGUCUGGGAAUCACUGAACAAGAAAGAACUUGAAGAGGAGUAUUUUGUAGUAACUAAUUCUAGCUUUAAAGGCUUGGCUAUAAUUUCCUUUGUUAUGCUUUCAGUCAUGGUAAGACAUAAAGUAUUUUCAAUUGCUAAAGUUCAUAUAUACUUAAAAGUAAUCAUGAAUUUUUUUUAAGUAAUCACAAGUUUUUUUGUUUCUUGGGAUCACUUUACGAAAUUGAAGAAGAUGGUUAUCUAGUCUUAAAUGUUUAGAUCCCAUGUACAUGAUAUGCGCUAUUCCAAGCAAUGCUUUUGAAAGUGUGUUGCAUUCCCUUUGCUCACAACCAUUCAUGGCACUCUAAGUGGGAGACAUGCUUACAUACCAUUCCAUUUAAGUUCCUUCAUAAUUUGAAUUAACUUUAUAUUUUCCUUUGACUACAAGUGUAUAUUCAAAAUUUCAUUAAUUGGUAGAUGCAGCAAAAAACAAGCUUAAUUUGGUAUGCUGGUUAUCUUUAGUAGCUAAUCUUAUUUGGUGCCUCAUGAAAAGAAAUCUCGUUAAUUGGCCUAACAUUACUACAUAUUAUUUUUAUUUAGAGUUUUUAAUGCUUGAAAAUUAUUAAGAAUAAAGAGAGUGCUUUAAGGGUCCAAUUUUUUUUUUUUUAAUCAUUACUUUUGAAAGUUAUACACUUUGGUACUUGCUAGUUAUCAAGUUUUAAAUCAAUAUCCAAUGUUUUUUUCUUGUUUCAAAGGCUGAAGUGUUCUGUCAAGUAUGGAUGUGACAACCAGGUGGGAAGAAGAAAUCACAAAUAUCUUGGCUUUCUUAAUUGGAUUAAGAGUUGGAUACUAUUCUAUAGUAAGGUAUAUCUGGAUAAUCUUCUUAGUCUUCUGUCUAUUUUCCUUAUCAUUUUCUCCAUCCAUAAUAUUUUGUGCUGAAGCAACAUUUGACAAAGGGCCACAAAAGAAACUCUGUUUAUCUUUUUGUAAUGGUAGAAAGGCAAGUGUGAUGUUUCAUUUCUAGAAUAGUCUAUAUUAUAUCGUGGCAGAUGAAAGGAAUGUUUUGAUCUCAUUCAAGAACAUCAUGCAAAAAUGUCCCAUUCUCAUUCGGCCUUAUCCAAUCUAAACAUCAUCAGCAGAAGGCUGUGUGUGUACAAAAGGUCCUCUAUCACUUCCAAGAUGCAGCAGCAAUAAGUUUAACCUAGAUUGCUGGUUUCUUUGAUCGUCUGUCUAGUUUGAUAACAUAUGAAAGCAAACUAGAUUUUUGUACAAGCCAAAUUCUUUCUCAGCGUGGAAGAGUGCAAAGCAUGGGAAGUGGCUGCCAGUAGGGAUCAAGAUGUUCUGAAUACUUUGGCUUCAUUAGCUAGAUUAGGAGUUCCCUCUGUUUUUUCCCGGCUUAAAGAUAUGGGCAAUUACAAAACCAAAAGUGCUCCAUCCCUCUUCCUCCCCCCUCCUUUGUCUAAGAUAAAGUAUGUUACUAUUAUUGGUUUGUUUUUGGGCUCAAUUCCAUAUAAUGUUUAAUUGCGAAAAUUGUCUUAUCCAGCAUACAGAAAUAUAUACUACAAUAUUUAAUAUCCUGUACUUUACUCAGAAUUUGCUACAACUGGCGGGUGGGGAAUCAAAACACUAGAAUAGUCUAGAAGAGCUUAGACGUGUAGAGUAUUAACUUUGUUUACUAGAAAAGGGAAAUAUAAGAGUCGUUUGCCCAUUGGUCAAC